UACGUAGGGGGCAAGCGUUGUCCGGAAUUAUUGGGCGUAAAGAGCGCGUAGGCGGUCCGAUAAGUCGGCUGUGAAAGUCAGGGGCUCAACCCUUGAAAGCCGGCCGAUACUGUCGGACUAGAGUCCGGAAGAGGCAAGUGGAAUUCCCGGUGUAGCGGUGAAAUGCGCAGAUAUCAGGAGGAACACCGAUUGCGAAGGCAGCUCGCUGGGACGUAACUGACGCUGAGACGCGAAAGCGUGGGGAGCAAACAGG
rnacentral:rRNA from 1 species